rnacentral:rRNA from 1 species
GACGAACGCUGGCGGCGUGCCUAAUACAUGCAAGUAGAACGCUGAAGAGAGGAGCUUGCUCUUCUUGGAUGAGUUGCGAACGGGUGAGUAACGCGUAGGUAACCUGCCUUGUAGCGGGGGAUAACUAUUGGAAACGAUAGCUAAUACCGCAUAACAAUGGAUGACACAUGUCAUUUAUUUGAAAGGGGCAAUUGCUCCACUACAAGAUGGACCUGCGUUGUAUUAGCUAGUAGGUGAGGUAAUGGCUCACCUAGGCGACGAUACAUAGCCGACCUGAGAGGGUGAUCGGCCACACUGGGACUGAGACACGGCCCAGACUCCUACGGGAGGCAGCAGUAGGGAAUCUUCGGCAAUGGGGGCAACCCUGAACGAGCAACGCCGCGUGAGGGAAGAAGGUUUUCGGAUCGUAAAGCUCUGUUGUAAGUCAAGAACGGGUGUGAGAGUGGAAAGUUCACACUGUGACGGUAGCUUAACAGAAAGGGACGGCUAACUACGUG